rnacentral:rRNA from 1 species
GGCCCCGCACAAGCGGUGGAGCAUGUGGUUUAAUUCGAUGCAACGCGAAGAACCUUACCAGGGUUUGACAUCCUGCGAAUCUCUUGGAAACGAGAGAGUGCCUUCGGAACGCAGUGACAGGUGGUGCAUGGCUGUCGUCAGCUCGUGUCGUGAGAUGUUGGUUAAGUCCCGCAACGAGCGCAACCCACGUCUUUAGUUGCCAGCAUUUAGUUGGGCACUCUAGAGAGACUGCCGGUGAUAAACCGGAGGAAGGUGUGGAUGACGUCAAGUCAUCAUGCCCCUUACGUCCUGGGCUACACACGUACUACAAUGCUACGGGACAAAGGGCAGCAAGUUCGCGAGGACAAG